UUUAUAUAAAAGAGUUCCAUAUGAAUAAGCCUCCUCCACACUAAAAGCCAUGCAAGAAAAAUUUAGUACGCCCAUUUAUUUUGAUGUUAAGAAGGAAGAGUCCUUAACUGGGUAUCUUAAUUUCUUUCAAGUUCCAUGCAUUUUUCAUUAAUCCUUGUGUCAUGUGAUCGUGCUUGGGAUAUGGAGCAUGGAAGAGGAGGAGGAGUCCUCUUGGAAGGAAUUUACAUGCCAAAAAUUAUUGGGAUGCCCCAUUUAUUUUGGCGUUGGAGAAGAGAAGUCCUUCUCUUUUACUUCUCUUAAUUUCUUUACAUGUUUCCACAUGUCCCAUUAUUUUGUGCACCAUCAGAUGGAGCCUUGAGAUGUGCGAUGUGGAAGAAAAGGAAGAGUCCUUCUCUGGCAAGGAAUUUGAAUGUCAAAAUAAAUGGGAUGCUCCUUUUGUGCAUUCAAAUAUGUAGAGUCCUUAAUUUAACGAACUCUUGGUAUUUCACAUGUUCUCCCUUUUAAGGCACCAUAUUUUGGCAUUCUGAUUUUUUCUAGUAGAGGAAGAGUCCUUCUGCUUGUUAAAGACCUCUUAUUCUAUGCCUUAACCAUUGGGAUUCUAUGCUAAAAAUUAAUUUUAGCAUGUAAGUGAGGUGGGACGCCCAGAGUUGGUGCCCCUUGGAAAAAUAUGUGACA
rnacentral:lncRNA from 1 species